rnacentral:rRNA from 1 species
GAUGAACGCUGGCGGCGUGCUUAACACAUGCAAGUCGAACGAUGAAGCCCAGCUUGCUGGGUGGAUUAGUGGCGAACGGGUGAGAAACACGUGAGUAACCUGCCCUUGACUCUGGGAUAAGCCUGGGAAACUGGGUCUAAUACUGGAUAUGACUUCUCAUCGCAUGGUGGGGGGUGGAAAGAUUUAUUGGUCUUGGAUGGACUCGCGGCCUAUCAGCUUGUUGGUGAGGUAAUGGCUCACCAAGGCGACGACGGGUAGCCGGCCUGAGAGGGUGACCGGCCACACUGGGACUGAGACACGGCCCAGACUCCUACGGGAGGCAGCAGUGGGGAAUAUUGCACAAUGGGCGCAAGCCUGAUGCAGCGACGCCGCGUGAGGGAUGACGGCCUUCGGGUUGUAAACCUCUUUCAGUAGGGAAGAAGCGAGAGUGACGGUACCUGCAGAAGAAGCGCCGGCUAACUACGUG